GUCUGUGCUGUCAACUUGAUUCUAUCUUUUUGGCCUGAAAUGCAAAGCAAUCCAUAUUUGUAGAAUCCUAAAUUUCUACACCCCAUGACGUGUGAGCUCUUAUCCCCCAUUACCAUAGCUUUGACAUAAAGUCCCCAGCAAUUGACAUUCUUUCUUCUGUCUCAACAACCUACUCUCUCACAUUAUCCGGUAUGGAGGAUCAAACUGAAAAGAGGGCUUUCGACAUGGGAGCCUUGAGGAGCAACCUUCCCCAAAACAGGCGAGGGUUGUCGAGGUAUUACUCGGGAAAAGCAAGAUCAUUCGCGUGCAUUGCAGAUGUUCGUUGCGUCGAGGAUCUCAAGAAACAAGAACAUCCCGACGCGAAGAAAAGGAAGAAGUAUUCAAAUAAGAAGGAGAUGCAGCUUUACACUCCUCAUCCAUGUCGUAGAGUAUCCAGUUGCACUCAUUGCGCUGCGCCUUGCAUUGGCGUGUAAAUAUAUCUGCUAUCCGAUUGUGAACAUGAAUUCAAUUUACUUUAAUCAAAAACAAAGAGAGUUUUCAGUUUCGCAUUAUAUCCAUCUGCAGAAUGCAAGAAUUGCAUAAUAAUAGUAACAAUUAAGAAUUACCUUUCUUCUUGA